rnacentral:lncRNA from 1 species
CGGAAGCUGGGUAAGCUAGUACUGAGUGCUUGAGGGGUUGCACCUAGCCGUUAAGUUGGUUAGGAUUUCAUUUGAGAAGAAUAAUUUCAUAUUGUCAGUUUAGUCCAAUAGGUUUUAAAAGUCAUUUUAUGUUAUUGUCAAAAUUGCCCUUAAUGUUUGAGUGAUUGGACACUUUAGGUCCAAUGCUGGGCAAUUACUUUUCAUACUAUCACCAAAGAGUGUCUUGGCUAUUUAAGCAUUGUAAUAGUUCUUUUUGUAGCUAUGAAAAGAAUUGUUUAGCUAAAUAGAGAAUAGCUUGUCCUUUACUCUUUUUCCUUUUCUUAGUUCUUACUGUUAUUUACUGUUUCAUUACUUUUCUUUAUCAUAGUUGCAUCAUUUGGUAUCAGAGCACUUUCUUGAGCUCUGUGGAUACACAAAAAUGGCGAAUGAGGUUAGGGAUAUCAAAGAGAUGCUUGACAGAAUGACAGUGGAGUUAGCCAACUUCUCUGUCAGGCAGAACCAAAUAGAGGAACAACAUGAGAAGUCUUUUGCUGAGCUGAAGGAAGCCUUGGAUGUUGUAAAGAAAAAUGACAAGGGAAAGAACCAUGAAGAGACUGAGGGAGCUGGUGAGAUCUACACUCCUUCUGGCCAACCCAUGGUGUGGGUCUCAGCAUCUCAAAUAGGAGGAGCUCCAACCAUGGUUACCCCUGGUGGUUAUCAACUGGGAAUGAGGCCUUUACCUCAGUUCCAAUCACCAUUAGGGGGGUCUAUGCAUCAUACUCCUGUUAUGGGAGGUAGACCUGUAGGACACAUGGGGCUGGAAGCUCAACUCACUUUCAGAUGCACACUGGAGGCCAAACACAGAUGAUAUAUGGAGGGUUCCAAAGCCAUCCAACCAUGGGAAUCCCUGGAGGAGAAGGAGCUCAACCUCCUGCCCAUGGUCACUUCUUCAACUCCAUGUCCAGGUUGUCCAAAAUAGAGUUUCCCAGGUUUAAUGGAGUAGAUCUCAGGUCGUGGAUCUACAAGGUAGAUCAAUUUUUUUCCUUGGAUGAAAUACCUUCAAAUCAAAAGGUGAGAAUGGAUUCCUUACACUUUGAUGGUCUAGCCAUAGAGUGGCACUUAGCAUACAUAAGGAGUAGGCAACACUUGCCUUAUCCUACGUGGGAUGAAUACAUGUUUGCUCUCAUGGACAGAUUGGGAACUGAGUUUGAAGAUCCUAUGGCUGAAUUGAAGCUGGUCAAACAAACUGGAUCAGUUAAAGACUAUCAGAAUGAGUUCGAUAAGAUCAUGACCAGGCUUACAAUCUUGCCAGAAUAUGCCAUUAGUGGGUUCAUUGCUGGACUCAAGCCGGAGAUAGGCUAUACUGUCAAGAACCACAAACCAUUUUCACUUCCUCAAGCCUACCAGCUAGCCAGAAACACUGAAGCUCAGGUUAAUUCCCAGCUUAAGAUAGCUAGAUCAUCCUCUUUUGUUGGUGGUUCUCAAUAUAGAGGGUGUUCAUAUAACUCUUCUCUUAAGGGAACUGGUUCCAAAAGAGAUUUUGGGCAUGGUAAGAGGGAAGUUUCUCUAAAUCUUAACAGGAACACUAACAGAAGACUGACCUCUGCUGAGAUGAAUGAGAGGAGAUAAAAGGGGUUGUGUUUUUUUUGUGAGGAGAAAUUCUUCCCUGGGCACAAGUGUGGGGGGUCCAAAUCUUUGUAUUUGUUGGAAGUGGAAGAAGAAGAAGAAACUAGUGAAGAGGAAGUGGUGGAUAUACCUGCCCCUGAGCUAGGAAAGGAGGAAGAGCCAGGGGAGGUUUGUGAGAUUUCAGUCUAUGCUCUACAUGGCAUUCCCACUUUAAGAGUGGAAGGGUAUUGCCAACAGAGACCUUUGUACAUAUUUAUUGAUCCAGGGAGUUCACACAACUUUUUGGAUGAAGGACUUGCGAUGGAACUCCAAGGAAACAUUCAAGCUGUCAGAACUCAUGCUAUCAAUAUGGCUGAUGGGCAUGAUAGGCAAACCAAGGAGCUGUGUAAAGCAUUUUCAUGGAUGAUAGAGAAAUUGACUUACACAGAUGAUUUCUUACUGAUACCUCUCAGAUCUUAUGACAUGAUCUUAGAGGUACAAUGGUUGCUUCUUUAGGAGAUAUUAAGUUGAACUUUUAAGAGUUAACUUUAGGCUAUACUUACCAAGGGCAUGAAUGUGUGCUGAAAGGUCAUGUGGACAAGGUGAGAACUGUGGAAGCCAAAAUGUUGGAAAAAAUGGCAAACGGGGGUGCCCAGUUGUUCAUGAUCAGAGUAGUGCCAUUGGAGGAAAAGGGGAACUUGGGAGUAACCACACCCAAGGAAAUUGUGUUCCUUACUCGAGAGUAUCCUCAGUUGUUUGCUGAGCCAAAGGGGUUACCCCCUUCAAGAGGGCCAUUUGAUCACAAAAUACCACUAGAGAUAGGAAGCAACCCUGUGAACUUGAGGCCAUAUAGAUAUUCAUCUUUACAGAAGGAUGUAAUUGAGAAGUUGAUAAGAGACAUGCUGGAGCAAGGCAUUGUGCAGCCAAGCUGUAGUCCUUAUGCUUCACCAGUGGUUCUGGUUGGCAAAAAAGAUGGGAGUUGGAGGCUAUGUGUGGACUAUAGGGGCCUCAACAAGGUGACAAUUAAAAACAAAUUUCCCAUUCCCAACAUAGAAGAGCUAUUAGAGGAAUUGGGAGGUUCAAAGAUCUACUCUAAAAUAGAUCUUAGAGCAGGUUAUCAUCAGAUCAGGAUAGUCAAUGAAGAUAUUGUCAAAACAACUUUUAGAACACAUGAAGGUCACUAUGAGUAUUUAGUGAUGCCAUUUGGGUUGUCCAAUGCCCCAUCAUCUUUUCAAAGUCUAAUGAAUCAUGUCUUCAGAGAGCAUUUAAGGAAGUUCAUAUUGGUGUUUUUUUAUGACAUUUUGGUGUUCAGUCAGAAUUUAUCUGAACACUUGGUUUAUCUUAAAACAACAUUUGACUUGCUAAUGAAGCACAAGCUCUGUGUGAGAAAAGCCAAGUGUUCAUUUGGGGCUAGUAGAGUUGAAUACUUAGUGCAUGUGAUAUUUGUUGAUGGGGUAUCUACUGAUCCUAAGAAAAUUGUUGCAGUUAAGGAAUGGCUUAAACCCAAGAAUGUGAAGGAGCUAAGGGGGUUCUUGGGAUUAACAGGGUAUUACAGGAGGUUCAUCAAGCAUUAUAGGAUAAUCAGUAAGCCACUAACUGAUUUAUUAAAGAAGGAUGGGUUUCAAUGGUUUGAAAUGGCCACUCAAGCCAUGGAGGAACUGAAGGAAGCACUGACUUCAACCCCUGUCCUUGCCUUACCUAAUAAUUGUGUUGUUUUUGUUGUAGAAACAGAUGUUUGUGACUAUGGAAUUGGAGUUGUCUUAAUGCAAGAGGGCCACCCUAUUGCUUACCUCAGCAAGGGUCUUUCCAUGAGACAUCAAGGGUUGUCUGUGUAUGACAAAGAGCUAUUGGCUCUAGUUCUAGCUGUUACUAAAUAGGCUCAGUAUUUGAUGGGCAAGAAGUUCAUUGUGAGGACUGAUCAGAAGGCGCUGAAGUUUUUAUUAGAUCAAAAACUUCAUAUAGGUUCUCAAAUGAAAUGGAUCGCCAAGCUGAUGCAAUUCCACUUUGAAAUAGAGUACAAAAAAGGAAGGGAGAACAAGAUUGCAGAUUCUUUGUCCAGAGUACCAACGGGAGAGGUAGCAUCAAUGAUGUUAAUUAAUGGGGUCAGUGAGCUGUUCGAAAAGAUAAAAAAUAGCUGGGAGAGGGAUCCUCUUACCAAAGCCAUUCUGGCCAAGGUAGUAUCACAGGAGAAAGGACACAAGGAAUUCACAUUUGUGAAUGAACAACUAAGGAGGAAGGGUAAGUUGGUAGUAAGGGAUGAACCAACUUUGAAGAAAGAGAUCCUCUUCAUCUGGCAUGAAAAAUCUGUGGGAGGGCACUCAGGAAUUGAGAACACUUACAAAAGGAUCUCAAACCUUUUUUACUGGAAGGGACUGAAGGAAGAUGUAACUAUGUUUGUGAGGCAGUGUGCAACCUGUUAGAGGAGCAAAUAUGAUAGUGUUGCUUAUCCAGGCCUUCUCCAACCACUACAAAUACCAUAUAGUAGUUGUUGAUAGACUUACAGAGUAUGGGCACUUCCUCAACAUUAGCCAUCCUUACACAGUCAUUUCUGUCGCUCAACUGUACUUGGAUCAAGUUUAUAAACUCCAUGGAAUGCCUGAAAACAUCAUCAGUGACAGUGACCCUAUAUUCAUGAGCAAAGUCUGGCAGGAACUAUUUGCAAUGCAAUGGGUUACAUUGAGCACAUCUAUUGUUUAUCAUCCUCAAACAGAUGGCUAAACAAAAGUACUUAAUAGAACCCUUGAGACAUAUUUGAGGUUUUUUUUGUGCUGAUAGUCAGAAGGAUUGGGCCAGCUGUUUGUCCCUGGCAGAAUGAUGGUAUAACACCACCUUCCACUCAACAAUCCAAACAACUCCUUUUGAGGCUCUUUAUGGACAACCACCACCUCUCUAUAUUCCUUAUGUUCCUGGGGACUCUGUUGGGGACUCUGCAGAGGAAGAGGUGGAUAGAAGUUUGAUAAGUAGAGAGUUUAAGGUCGAGUUGCUCAAAUUCCACAUAGUUAGAGCUCAACAAAGAAUGGUUUCCAUGGCCAAUCAACACAGAACAGAUAGGCAGUUUGAAGAGGGAGAUUGGGUGUACCUAAAGAUCCAACCUUAUAGACAACUCACUAUCUCUAACCAGACUUUUUCGAAGCUGUCAGCUAAAUACUAUGGCCCUUACCAGAUAUUACAAAUGAUUGGUCCAGUUGCCUAUAAGUUGUCUCUACCACCUCAAGUAGUCGUCCAUCAUACAUUCCAUGUAUCUCAAUUGAAGCCUUGCCUUGCUUUGCCAACAAAUUUUAAUUAUCCUCCAACAGUUGAUGUGUCAUCUCCUAACUGUGUGCAGCCUCAGGAAAUAUUGGAAAGAAGGAUGAUAAAAAGGGGGAACAAGGCUAUUCCUCAAAUUCUUAUUCACUGGGAACAAAUGUCAAGAGAUAAUGCAACCUGGGAAGACUACUCUACCAUGAAGCUGAGAUUCCCUCAAUUCCUUUCUUGAGGACAAAGAAGGUUUUUAAGGAAUGGGGAAUGAUGCAAAAAUGAAGUCGGAAGCUGGGUAAGCUAGUACUGAAUGCUUGAGGGGUUGCACCUAGCCGUUACGUUGGUUAGGAUUUCAUUUGAGAAGAAUAGUUUCAUAUUGUCAGUUUAGUCCAAUAGGUUUUAAAAGUCAUUUUAUGUUAUUGUCAAAAUUGCCCUUAAUGUUUGAGUGAUUGGACACUUUAGGUCCAAUGCUGGACAAUUACUUUUCAUACUAUCACCAAGGAGUGUCUUGGCUAUUUAAGCAUUGUAAUAGUUCUUUUUG